rnacentral:sRNA from 1 species
AAUUGCCCCAAAUUGCAGUGAAAAGCUUUUAUUGAAAAAAGCUAUUUUUUGUUAGUAUAAAAAAGCGACCAAAGGAAGCUCUUUUUAUGCUUUGGAAAAACUGCUUUUUGAAAUAAAACUUGUAACGGAAAGUUGGAUUAGGC